rnacentral:rRNA from 1 species
GACGAACGCUGGCGGCGUGCUUAACACAUGCAAGUCGAACGAGAUCCAAUGUGUAGCACUACGCAGGAAGAUCUAGUGGCGAACGGGUGAGGAACACGUGAGAAACGUACCCCAGACUUUGGGAUAACAGUCCGAAAGGACUGCUAAUACCAAAUAACGUCGGAAGUCCGCAUGGACAUCUGACGAAAGGGAUUCCGGGUUGGGAGCGUCUCGCGGACCUAUCAGCUAGUUGGAGGGGUAACGGGCCGCCAAGGCAAGGACGGGUAGCUUGUCUGAGAGGCUGGUCAGCCACACUGGGACUGGGACACGGCCCAGACUCCUGCGGGAGGCAGCAGUGGGUGAUCUUGCGCAAUGGGCGAAAGGCUGACGCAGCAACGCCGCGUGCGGGAAGAAGGCUUUCGGGCUGUAAAGCGCUUUAAGUAGGAGCGAAACUGACGGUACCUACAGAAGAAGGAGCGGCCAACUAUGUG